GAUGAACGCUGGCGGCGUGCCUAAUACAUGCAAGUCGAGCGAACAGACGAGGAGCUUGCUCCUCUGACGUUAGCGGCGGACGGGUGAGUAACACGUGGAUAACCUACCUAUAAGACUGGGAUAACUUCGGGAAACCGGAGCUAAUACCGGAUAAUAUAUUGAACCGCAUGGUUCAAUAGUGAAAGACGGUUUUGCUGUCACUUAUAGAUGGAUCCGCGCCGCGUUAGCUAGUUGGUAAGGUAACGGCUUACCAAGGCAACGAUGCGUAGCCGACCGGAGAGGGGGAUCGGCCACACUGGAACUGAGACACGGUCCAGACUCCUACGGGAGGCAGCAGUAGGGAAUCUUCCGCAAUGGGCGAAAGCCUGACGGAGCAACGCCGCGUGAGUGAUGAAGGUCUUCGGAUCGUAAAACUUUGUUAUUAGGGAAGAACAAAUGUGUAAGUAACUAUGCACGUCUUGACGGUACCUAAUCAGAAAGCCACGGCUAACUACGUGCCAGCAGCCGCCGCGG
rnacentral:rRNA from 1 species